GUAAUGCCGGAUGUUCCACAUGAUCGCAUGUGAUUGUGGGAAAGAUUCUAUCGGCGUGGGAUGGGGUCGCGUCCUAUCAGCUUGUUGGUGAGGUAACGGCUCACCAAGGCUUCGACGGGUAGCCGGCCUGAGAGGGCGACCGGCCACAUUGGGACUGAGAUACGGCCCAGACUCCUACGGGAGGCAGCAGUGGGGAAUAUUGCACAAUGGGCGCAAGCCUGAUGCAGCGACGCCGCGUGAGGGAUGGAGGCCUUCGGGUUGUAAACCUCUUUUGUUUGGGAGCAAGCCUUCGGGUGAGUGUACCUUUCGAAUAAGCGCCGGCUAACUACGUGCCAGCAGCCGCGGUAAUACGUAGGGCGCAAGCGUUAUCCGGAUUUAUUGGGCGUAAAGGGCUCGUAGGCGGCUCGUCGCGUCCGGUGUGAAAGUCCAUCGCUUAACGGUGGAUCUGCGCCGGGUACGGGCGGGCUGGAGUGCGGUAGGGGAGACUGGAAUUCCCGGUGUAACGGUGGAAUGUGUAGAUAUCGG
rnacentral:rRNA from 1 species